rnacentral:rRNA from 1 species
GAUGAACGCUGGCGGCGUGCCUAAUACAUGCAAGUCGAGCGAACAGACGAGGAGCUUGCUCCUCUGACGUUAGCGGCGGACGGGUGAGUAACACGUGGAUAACCUACCUAUAAGACUGGGAUAACUUCGGGAAACCGGAGCUAAUACCGGAUAAUAUAUUGAACCGCAUGGUUCAAUAGUGAAAGACGGUUUUGCUGUCACUUAUAGAUGGAUCCGCGCCGCAUUAGCUAGUUGGUAAGGUAACGGCUUACCAAGGCAACGAUGCGUAGCCGACCUGAGAGGGUGAUCGGCCCCACUGGAACUGAGACACGGUCCAGACUCCUACGGGAGGCAGCAGUAGGGAAUCUUCCGCCAUGGGCGAAAGCCUGACGGAGCAACGCCGCGUGAGUGAUGAAGGUCUUCGGAUCGUAAAACUCUGUUAUUAGGGAAGAACAAAUGUGUAAGUAACUAUGCACGUCUUGACGGUACCUAAUCAGAAAGCCACGGCUAACUACGUG